rnacentral:rRNA from 1 species
GACGAACGCUGGCGGCGCGCCUAACACAUGCAAGUCGAACGAGCGAGAGAGAGCUUGCUUUCUCGAGCGAGUGGCGAACGGGUGAGUAACGCGUGAGGAACCUGCCUCAAAGAGGGGGACAACAGUUGGAAACGACUGCUAAUACCGCAUAAGCCCACGGUGCCGCAUGGCACAGAGGGAAAAGGAGCAAUCCGCUUUGAGAUGGCCUCGCGUCCGAUUAGCUAGUUGGUGAGGUAAUGGCCCACCAAGGCGACGAUCGGUAGCCGGACUGAGAGGUUGAACGGCCACAUUGGGACUGAGACACGGCCCAGACUCCUGCGGGAGGCAGCAGUGGGGAAUAUUGCACAAUGGGGGAAACCCUGAUGCAGCGACGCCGCGUGGAGGAAGAAGGUCUUCGGAUUGUAAACUCCUGUUGUUGGGGAAGAUAAUGACGGUACC